CUACGGAAAAGGGUGAAAAAUACCAGAAGCUAGUACUGAUACAUUACUUACUGAACAAGAGGAAGGGCUUUGGGAUGAUAGAGGUACCAGUCGGAAACACAGUAAAUACAGUAUUAUGAAGUUUUCCGACGGAUGCGGAGCCAGGAUGUUAUUUGGAGUGGAAUAUGAUAAAUCCUGCUGAGGCCAAGUGAUGUAGUUACUUUACAUCGGGAUGAGGACUCUACUACACUAUGCCUGCCUUCACUCUGGUUUUUUACAAGUUUUACAGUUUGUUGAAAUAGCAAAAGCUACCGCGUGGUAUACGUUUUACUGCAGCGAAGAAUAAUCUGUGAACUCCUGGUUUUAGAGAGAAGUGCAAGAUAAUAUUUUAUGCUAAGUCUGUGACAGAUAUAUGGCAGAGAACCAACUGCUGGCUCUAUCAUGGAACUUUUUCUUCAGCCAACACACAGACGCCAAAGGAAGUUUCGUAAGAGUCUUGAGGUGUAACAGAGCAGAGGAAGUCGCCUUCUUUCCUGUCUAUACAGGUGUUAUGUGCAUCCGACUAACAACUGAUGCAAUGGCAACGUUAUGGAGUUUAGGAAGUGAACACUGACGUGAUUUCGUUUUUCAGUAGAGUACGUGUUUGUUUUCAGAUGACUCAAAGUACUUAACAAUCCAUAAGAUUCUGAAGGCUAACCCGACUUUCGGCCAAGUGAAGUAAGAGCCAAUGGAUGAAGAUAUGUUCCUUGCUGACUUGUCAGACAUGCAACUUGUAUUAGCACUAAAGUCUCUAGGGGACAAACAUCCCAGACCACCAGGGAUCUGAAAAUAGCUGCUGAACUGAUCAGAACUGCCUGUUGCUACUAUCUACUGAAAGAAAUCCAGUCUUUUGAUCAAAGAUGGCUACACCAGAACUUACAUUCAUCCCUCUUAAACUAGUUUAGAAUACCAUAGUGUUCCAUCUGCAGGAGACAUGUGAAGAAAUGACCUAAGGAAGGAACACCAUAUUCCAAAACCAAAGAAGAUAUUUCCAGGGCUAAGUUCUUCACAUGGCUCAGCUAAGCAUUGGGGAGGUUUGAUCAUUUCAGAUCCAAAGAUCUAGGUGUUGACAGCGAAACCACCUACAGAGUUCCUGAUAUCGAAAUUAGAACAUCCAUAUCAGUUGUUCUACCUCCUCCAUCUCCCAAGUGGCCCUAAUUCUAUCCUCUACAGCUAAGACAUUUAGUGCUUCCCAUCAUGCCACUAACCAAAAUAAAAGCGCUUCCAAUGCUUCAACCAGUACAAUUUCCAGGAUCAAGCAGCCAAAUGAACAGGUGUCUGGGCUCUUUAUAACCGAGAGGAAGACUAGUUCCCGAAAUGUAGAGAUUCUCCAGCACAGCUGGAGCAGUUUAAAAAAAGAGGUACACUGUUUCCAUGUUGAGCUGUCAGACUCCAAAGACUCCUCUGAGAACUCUGGGGGUCAUAUGUUAGACAACCACUGCUAGCGGUAAAUCGAUUGUUACAUCGGAUAACCUGCUGGUGGUGUUCCAGUAAAGAUAAGAGAUUCUAGUCUCUGCCAGUACUGUACAUACAUUUUAAACUAUUUUCUUUUCGUUUAUGU